GCGACCCCAGGUCAGGCGGGGCUACCCGUUGAAUU
rnacentral:rRNA from 1 species